rnacentral:rRNA from 1 species
GGAGGAAAGCAGGGGAUCGCAAGACCUUGCGCUUUUGGAGCGGCCGAUGCCUGAUUAGCUUGUUGGUGAGGUAAAAGCUCACCAAGGCUCCGAUCAGUAGCUGGUCUGAGAGGACGACCAGCCACACUGGGACUGAGACACGGCCCAGACUCCUACGGGAGGCAGCAGUGGGGAAUUUUGGACAAUGGGGGCAACCCUGAUCCAGCCAUGCCGCGUGAGUGAAGAAGGCCUUCGGGUUGUAAAGCUCUUUCAGCCGGAACGAAACGGUCACGGUUAACACCCGUGACUACUGACGGUACCGGAAGAAGAAGCACCGGCUAACUACGUGCCAGCAGCCGCGGUAAUACGUAGGGUGCGAGCGUUAAUCGGAAUUACUGGGCGUAAAGCGUGCGCAGGCGGUUUUGUAAGUCAGAUGUGAAAUCCCCGGGCUUAACCUGGGAACUGCGUUUGAAACUACAAAGCUAG